rnacentral:rRNA from 1 species
UCUCAGUGCCGUAGCUAACGCGUUAAGUGUACCGCCUGGGGAGUAUGCUCGCAAGGGUGAAACUCAAAGGAAUUGACGGGGGCCCGCACAAGCGGUGGAGCAUGUGGUUUAAUUCGAUGAUACGCGAGUAACCUUACCAGGGCUUGACAUAUACCGGAAUACUGUGGAGACACAGUAGCCUCUUUGAGGCUGGUAUACAGGUGCUGCAUGGUUGUCGUCAGCUCGUGCUGUGAAGUGUUGGGUUAAGUCCCGCAACGAGCGCAACCCUUUCUGUCUGUUGCCAUCAUUAAGUUGGGCACUCAGGCGGUACUGCCGGUGACAAACCGGAGGAAGGUGGGGACGACGUCAAAUCAUCAUGGCCCUUAUGUCCUGGGCUACACACGUGCUACAAUGGCCGGUACAGAGCGCAGCAAAACCGCGAGGUGGAGCAAAUCGCAGAAAGCCGGUCUCAGUACGGAUUGGAGUCUGAAACUCGACUUCAUGAAGGUGGAAUCGCUAGUAAUCGCGCAUCAGCAUGGCGCGGUGAAUACGUUCCCGGGCCUUGUACACACCGCCCGUCACACCACCCGAGUUGGGGGUACCCGAAGUCGCUAGUCUAACUGUCAAAGGGGGACAGCGCCGAAGGUAUGCUUGGUAAGGGGGGUGAAGUCGUAACAAGGUAGCCG